AACGCGAAGAACCUUACCCGGCCUUGACAUCUACGGAAUCCUGCAGAGAUGCGGGAGUGCCUUCGGGAACCGUAAGACAGGUGCUGCAUGGCUGUCGUCAGCUCGUGUCGUGAGAUGUUGGGUUAAGUCCCGCAACGAGCGCAACCCUUGUCCUUAGUUGCCAUCAUUAAGUUGGGAACUCUAAGGAGACCGCCGGUGACAAACCGGAGGAAGGUGGGGAUGACGUCAAGUCAUCAUGGCCUUUGUGGCCGGGGCUACACACGUGCUACAAUGGCAGGUACAGAGGGAAGCCAACUCGCGAGAGGGAGCCAAUCCCAGAAAGCCUGUCGUAGUCCGGAUCGGAGUCUGCAACUCGACUCUGUGAAGUCGGAAUCGCUAGUAAUCGCAGAUCAGCAUUGCUGCGGUGAAUACGUUCCCGGGUCUUGUACACACCG
rnacentral:rRNA from 1 species